rnacentral:rRNA from 1 species
UACGUAGGGUGCAAGCGUUAAUCGGAAUUACUGGCGUAAAGCGUGCGCAGGCGUGAUGUAAGACAGAUGUGAAAUCCCCGGGCUCAACCUGGGAACUGCAUCUGUGACUGCAUAGCUAGAGUACGGUAGAGGGGGAUGGAAUUCCGCGUGUAGCAGUGAAAUGCGUAGAUAUGCGGAGGAACACCGAUGGCGAAGGCAAUCCCCUGGACCUGUACUGACGCUCAUGCACGAAAGCGUGGGGAGCAAACAGG